UACGUAGGGUCCGAGCGUUGUCCGGAAUUAUUGGGCGUAAAGGGCUCGUAGGCGGUUUGUCGCGUCGGGAGUGAAAACUCAGGGCUCAACCCUGAGCGUGCUUCCGAUACGGGCAGACUAGAGGUAUGCAGGGGAGAACGGAAUUCCUGGUGUAGCGGUGGAAUGCGCAGAUAUCAAGGAGGAACACCGGUGGCGAAGGCGGUUCUCUGGGCAUUACCUGACGCUGAGGAGCGAAAGCAUGGGGAGCGAACAGG
rnacentral:rRNA from 1 species